rnacentral:rRNA from 1 species
UACGAGGGGGGCGAGCGUUGUUCGGAAUUAUUGGGCGUAAAGGGCGCGUAGGCGGUUGGAUAGGUCUUGUGUGAAAUCUUCGGGCUCAACUCGAAGUCUGCACGAGAAACUAUCUGGCUUGAGUGUGGGAGAGGUGAGUGGAAUUCCUGGUGUAGCGGUGAAAUGCGCAGAUAUCGGGAAGAACACCCGUGGCGAAGGCGGCUCUCUGGAACGCAACUGACGCUGAGACGCGAAAGCGUGGGGAGCAAACAGG